rnacentral:lncRNA from 1 species
UCUAAAGAUGGUUUGAAAUGGGAAUAUGAUUAUGAUUUUUGGAGAAAUUAGGGUAAAGAGUUUCUCUCCUCUUGAGCUGCCAACACCACUCUUUCAUGGAGGAAGGUUAAUCUGGCGGAGGGAUGGUGCGGCUCAGGCGACGACAAUGGUGGAAGGACCUAUACAACUCAUGAAAGGGGCACUAGAGUCCCAAACUCGGGACAACUCGCACAUGGACGCGGUUUGGCGACAGCGGUGAUGCCAUUCAUGACUCCGGCGGUGGGAGAAGAAGCACGUCCUCCUCUGGACACGGCUAGACAGGGAGGAGCAACGCCUUCCAUGGCUCCAAUAGCAAGGGAAGAGAGGAUAUGGCGGCUCAUGGGUUCCGUGUAUGUCUCCCACGAAGCCUAAGGCCUCUUCUGACAGUGGGUUCCCAGCCAAGGCAGGUUGCAUUGGCCUAUUAAUGGUGGCUGACAAUGUCGUCGAUCCUCUUAUUAUUUUUUUUAGCAUAUGAAUGUAUUGUCAAAUUAUCCAAGUAUUACCCCUGAUUGACUAUGAAUACUUGCAUAUGGUGAGCCUGUUUAGGGAUUAUGAGAUGAUUUUUAUUCCAUUAAUUGAUUGAGAUUAUGAAACGGUUUUAUUUAGCCAUUGCAAGAGACAC